rnacentral:miRNA from 1 species
UGUGAAUUCUGCACUACACCGAGAAAUCUGUGUCUGGACAUCUGUUGCUGGAGGUCCUUUCACAUCAGUGACGUUAAUAAGAGGUCUUAGACUUGUCACAAUAGUCAAAUUUCUUAUUGGGAAAUCAGCAUUCUUGUAUGUAUUAUUAGAUUUAUUCAUUAUCCCGCCAAUUAGGCUAUCCAAAACCGCCUCACGAUUAUGUUAAACUAAACGUAAUUGUAUAGGCUGCAGUAGCCUACAAAUGUGUAGCCUACAUGAAUUAACAUUCAAUCAAUAAUGCUUUAAUUAGCCCUAAGCCUACAUAACUUUUGGAGGAGCAAGCUGUUUGCCAUAUAGUAGCCUAAAAACGUUCAGAAUUUGUUUCAGAAGAAGUUGUUCAAAUGACACAACUAGGCCUACAGUUUAUUUUGAGUAGAUCUAGGGCUCAAUCCCACGAAGAGAAGAUUUCAACGUUUUCUAUGUUUUUCUUCUUCCUGCUUUCGAUUGCCCUUAAGCAACGAUUGGUUUAUUGUCGCUCCACUGGUGUGCU